UAGGAAAGUUGGGGCUUAAAUCCCCUCCCCGAGCUCAGGGUAACAUUUGAAGUGGAGGGGAC
rnacentral:ncRNA from 1 species